GCUUAACACAUGCAAGUCGAGGGGUGUAUGUCUUCGGAUAUAGAAACCGGCGCACGGGGUGCGUAACGCGUAUGCAAUCUACCUUUUACAGAGGGAUAGCCCAGAGAAAUUUGGAUUAAUACCUCAUAGUAUAGCUCUACCGCAUGGUAGUACUAUUAAAGUCACAACGGUAAAAGAUGAGCAUGCGUCCCAUUAGCUAGUUGGUAAGGUAACGGCUUACCAAGGCAACGAUGGGUAGGGGUCCUGAGAGGGAGAUCCCCCACACUGGUACUGAGACACGGACCAGACUCCUACGGGAGGCAGCAGUGAGGAAUAUUGGACAAUGGGCGCAAGCCUGAUCCAGCCAUGCCGCGUGCAGGAUGACGGUCCUAUGGAUUGUAAACUGCUUUUGUACGAGAAGAAACACUGCUUCGUGAAGCGGCUUGACGGUAUCGUAAGAAUAAGGAUCGGCUAACUCCGUGCCAGCAGCCGCGGUAAUACGGAGGAUCCAAGCGUUAUCCGGAAUCAUUGGGUUUAAAGGGUCCGUAGGCGGUUUAGUAAGUCAGUGGUGAAAGCCCAUCGCUCAACGGUGGAACGGCCAUUGAUACUGCUGAACUUGAAUUAUUAGGAAGUAACUAGAAUAUGUAGUGUAGCGGUGAAAUGCUUAGAGAUUACAUGGAAUACCAAUUGCGAAGGCAGGUUACUACUAAUUGAU
rnacentral:rRNA from 1 species